rnacentral:lncRNA from 1 species
UUUCUGAGUUAUUUUCUUAGUGGCUUUUAUAUGGUUUAUCAUACACACCUUAACUGAGAAUCUACUUCAGAUUUAUAGUAACUUAAUUUCAAUAAGAUAUAGAAGUGUUGCUUCUACAUAGCUCUAUACCUUUCCAUCCUUUUUUAUGCUAUUAUAUAUAUAUAACAAUAAUAGCACAUAUACAUAUAUAUAUAUAUAUAACAAACCCAAUGGUACAGUUACACUUAUUGCAUUACAUAAUUUUAUGUCUUUUAAAGAAGAGAAGAAAGGAGAACAAGUUUAUAAUUAUGAAGUUUGUUACAUUAACCUUAUUAUUUACCAUUUAUAGCUCUCUUCAUUUGUUCCUGUACAUUCCAAUUGCCAUCUGGUGUUAUUGUCUUACACAAAUACAGCUUUGUUCACAUUCACUUCCUUGAUACUGUUCUUGUCAAAUAUAUUACAUUUCUAUAUGUUUUGGCUCAACAAUACAAUUAAAUACAUAAUUGCGCAAAAUAAAGAGCCAAUGUUUCACCGGGUGAGUUUAGUGCUUAUAGGGAACUCACUGUACCAAUUCAGAGCAUGAAA